ensembl:misc_RNA Metazoa_SRP Metazoan signal recognition particle RNA
GCCGGGCACGGUGGCUUGUGCCUGUAAUCCAAGCGUCGGGGAGGCUGAGGCUGGCGGACAGGCUUGAGCCCGGGGGUUCUGGGCUGCAGAGAGCUGUGCCGAGCGGGCGUCCAGGCUAAGAUCAGCAUCGAUAUGGUGUUCUCCGGGGAGCCAGGGGGCACCAGGUCGCCUAAGGAGGGGUGAACCGGCCCAGGUCGGAAACGGAGCAGGUCAAAACUCCUGUGCUGAUCAGUAGCGGGAUCGCGCCUGUGAACAGUCCCUGCAGCACAGCCUGGGCAAGAGAGUGGGACCCAGCUUCCU